rnacentral:rRNA from 1 species
GACGAGCGCUGGCGGCGUGCCUAAUACAUGCAAGUUGAGCGAUGAAGAUUGGUGCUUGCACCAAUUUGAAGAGCAGCGAACGGGUGAGUAACGCGUGGGGAAUCUGCCUUUGAGCGGGGGACAACAUUUGGAAACGAAUGCUAAUACCGCAUAACAACUUUAAACAUAAGUUUUAAGUUUGAAAGAUGCAAUUGCAUCACUCAAAGAUGAUCCCGCGUUGUAUUAGCUAGUUGGUGAGGUAAAGGCUCACCAAGGCGAUGAUACAUAGCCGACCUGAGAGGGUGAUCGGCCACAUUGGGACUGAGACACGGCCCAAACUCCUACGGGAGGCAGCAGUAGGGAAUCUUCGGCAAGGGACGAAAGUCUGACCGAGCAACGCCGCGUGAGUGAAGAAGGUUUUCGGAUCGUAAAACUCGGUUGGUAGAGAAGAACGUUGGUGAGAGUGGAAAGCUCAUCAAGUGACGGUAACUACCCAGAAAGGGACGGCUAACUACGUG